CAGGAGGCUCAGGCUGCAGUGAGCCAUCAUCCGGCCACUGCACUCCAGCCUGGGCCAUAUAGAGUGAGGGAUGGGGAGGAUGGGAGAGUACAAUGACAAUAUCAGGAAGAUGGAAAGAGAAGCAGAAAAUAAAUGGAGUUUGAAUGCAUUGAGAGGAGGAGACAGAGUCGGAGAGCCUCCCAUGCAGGGUUGUGAUUGUCUGUGAGCUCUGAACAAGCAGAGCCCAGCACAGCCAAGGACAGCACAGUGGAAGGAGCGCUGGACAGGUGGGUCAGGGCUGUACUUGGCAGACAGCAGUGUUUCCACCAGCACAGCCCUCCGACCUUGGCCCUGAGUUGCUGUCGAGUUCUUGGUGGACCUUGUCUUUCUACAGGGAUCAGGAACUUGCUGGAAAGCCCUGGUGUACUUGUGACCCUUAGGUAUG
rnacentral:lncRNA from 10 species